CCGGCUAAACCCGGGCAAGCGGCCGUGGGAAUACGGGGGGUGCAAGCGGUAAUCGGAAUAAGUGGGCGUAAAGCGCACGCAGGCGGUUAGAUAAGGCAGAUGUGAAAUCACCGGGCUUAACCUGGGAACUGCAUUUGAAACUGUCUGACUAGAGUCUUGUAGAGGGGGUAGAAUUCCAGGUGUAGCGGUGAAAUGCGUAGAGAUCUGGAGGAAUACCGGUGGCGAAGGCGGCCCCCUGGACAAAGACUGACGCUCAGGUGCGAAAGCGUGGGGAGCAAACAGGAUUAGUUACCGUUGAGUC
rnacentral:rRNA from 1 species